CACAUAUAGUGGAAUAUAAAUGUGCCGAGAUAAGGAUCUUUUCUGAAUCUCGCAAUUUUGGUGUGUACCCUGCAACAGCGUGUUGGUUGUUAUGGCUGUUUUUACUUUGGUUUAGAAGGCAACCCAGCUAAGUGAUAGGUAGAGUUUUAUUUUUUAUUGAGCACGCAGUUUCUUUGUGGAAUCGUGUGUUCCUGGCACAGAUAUUCUUGUGCCAACGCUGGCUUUUGUCCAUGACCAACGUUCUGCUCCAUCCUUAUCUUCCCGACGUAAGCUCAUCCAGCUUCUGCUUCAUCGCUUCGUACACAAAAUACAACUUGUCUUACUUCAAUGACAAGUUGGAACAUUUCAGUGGUCGCGUCCGUGCCGCUGUUACACAACUGCAGUCACUCACCAUGGGGUUAUGCCCAGGUACCCGACAAUUUACUUAUUUUCGUAGAUUAUCUAUUCUAAUAGUAUACUUACUUGUGUCUGUAAUAAUUUCGAAAUCAGGCCCUACUUGCGCGCAAACGU
rnacentral:lncRNA from 1 species